CAAAACAGUCAAAAAUAUACAGGGUGUUUACAAAAAAGUUUAUAUCAUUUGAGAUGUAAAUAUCUGAGUAACUACAUAGUCUAGGCAAAUGAAACUAAACAAGCUUAAUGUUGAGCGCAAUAAGAUUUAUUCUUCAAAAUCUGAAUGAGAAAUUCAAAGGAAUGUGG